GCUGGGUGUGGUAGCUCACACCUGUAAUCCCAGCACUUUGGGAGGCUGAGGCAGGUGGAUCACCUGAGGUCAGGAGUUUGAGACCAGCCUGGUCAACAUGGUGAAACCCUGUCUCUA
rnacentral:SRP_RNA from 1 species